rnacentral:rRNA from 1 species
AUUGAACGCUGGCGGCAUGCCUUACACAUGCAAGUCGAACGGUAACAGGUCUUCGGAUGCUGACGAGUGGCGAACGGGUGAGUAAUACAUCGGAACGUGCCCGAUCGUGGGGGAUAACGAAGCGAAAGCUUUGCUAAUACCGCAUACGAUCUACGGAUGAAAGCAGGGGACCGCAAGGCCUUGCGCGAACGGAGCGGCCGAUGGCAGAUUAGGUAGUUGGUGGGAUAAAAGCUUACCAAGCCGACGAUCUGUAGCUGGUCUUGGAGGACGACCAGCCACACUGGGACUGAAACAGGCCCCAGCUCCCUAGGGGGGGCGGCGGUGGGAAAUUUGGGACAAGGGGCGAAGCCCUGAUCCGGCCAGGCGGGGUGAAGGAUGAGGCCUUUCGGGUUGUAACUGCUUUUGUACGGAACGAAAAGACUCUGGUUAAUACCUGGGGUCCAUGACGGUACCGUAAGAAUAAGCACCGGCUAACUACGUG